rnacentral:rRNA from 1 species
UACAGAGGGUGCGAGCGUUGUUCGGAAUUACUGGGCGUAAAGCGCGCGCAGGCGGCCUUUUAAGUCUGACGGUGAAAUGCCGGGGCUCAACCCCGUGCCCGCCGGAGAUACUGGGAGGCUGGAGACGAGUAGAGGCAAGCGGAAUUCCGGGUGUAGCGGUGGAAUGCGUAGAGAUCCGGAAGAACACCGGUGGCGAAGGCGGCCUGCUGGGCAGUUGCUGACACUGAGGCGCGACAGCGUGGGGAGCAAACAGG